AGAGUUUGAUCCUGGCUCAGGAUGAACGCUAGCGGCAGGCUUAAUACAUGCAAGUCGAGGGGCAGCACGGUUAGCAAUAACUGGUGGCGACCGGCGCACGGGUGCGUAACACGUAUACAAUCUACCUUAAACAGGGGGAUAGCCUUUCGAAAGAGAGAUUAAUACCCCGUAAUAAAUUGAACGGCAUCGUUUGAUUUUGAAAGCUCCGGCGGUUUGAGAUGAGUAUGCGUCUGAUUAGCUAGUUGGUGAGGUAACGGCUCACCAAGGCGACGAUCAGUAGGGGAUCUGAGAGGACUAACCCCCACACUGGUACUGAGACACGGACCAGACUCCUACGGGAGGCAGCAGUAAGGAAUAUUGGUCAAUGGGGGCAACCCUGAACCAGCCAUGCCGCGUGCAGGAUGACGGCCCUAUGGGUUGUAAACUGCUUUUAUACCAGAGAAAACCCGAGUACGUGUACUCGGUUGAUAGUAUGGUAAGAAUAAGCAUCGGCUAACUUCGUGCCAGCAGCCGCGGUAAGACGAAGGAUGCAAGCGUUAUCCGGAUUCAUUGGGUUUAAAGGGUGCGUAGGCGGACCUGUAAGUCAGUGGUGAAAUCUCUUUGCUUAACAAAGAAACUGCCAUUGAUACUGCAAGUCUAGAGUAUAGAUGACGUUGGCGGAAUAUGACAUGUAGUGGUGAAAUACUUAGAUAUGUCAUAGAACACCGAUUGCGAAGGCAGCUAACGAAACUAUAACUGACGCUGAGGCACGAAAGUGCGGGGAUCAAACAGGAUUAGAUACCCUGGUAGUCCGCACCGUAAACGAUGAUUACUCGUUGUUGGCAAUAUGACCGUCAGCGACCAAGCGAAAGCGAUAAGUAAUCCACCUGGGGAGUACGCCGGCAACGGUGAAACUCAAAGGAAUUGACGGGGGCCCGCACAAGCGGAGGAGCAUGUGGUUUAA
rnacentral:rRNA from 1 species